UUCUAUGGCCAUACCACCCUGAACACGCCUGAUCUCAUCUGAUCUCAGAAACUAAGCAGGGUCAGGCUUGGUUAGUACUUGAAUGGGAGAACAGUCUUCCUGAAGUGUAUUCUUGUGGCACUUUAU
rnacentral:rRNA from 1 species